rnacentral:rRNA from 1 species
GUCUAUGGCCAUGCCACCCUGAACAAGCCCCAUGUCUGAUCUCGGAAGCUAAGCAGGGUCGGGCCUGGUUAGUACUUGGAUGGGAGACCACCUAGGAGGCUGUAGGCAUAAAUA